UGGAUCAUGCGAGCCAGAGGAUCACUGCCAGAAGAACCAGUUUUGGUUUCCCAAAGAACAUUUCAGUAAACAUUUCUUAAAAUAAUUUUUUUUUAAGAAGAACAUUUAAAAAAUCAAAAUAAUUUUUAUGGAAUUAAAAGGUUCCAUGGAUGUGAAAGCUUCAGUAAAAGUUCUGUCAUGAAGACUCUAAUGCCAUGCCAUUCAUUCAUACUAACAGUUCUGGCCAAUCACUGCUUGGCAGCUGGAGUAUAUAAGCACUGAAUUCUGUUUCAUUUUUCGCAGUUGUUGAUGAUGAUCCCCUCCAUUCUCCCCCCAGUAUGUUCACAGACUGCCAAAUUUCAAGAUGUAGGCCAUUUUAAAGCCAUCCUGAAAUGGAAGUUGUGAUUGUCUUCCGUAUCGUGACAUACCAAAGUGAAACGGCUUUCUGAACACAAUUUUUGUUUUAUUUUUUCCAUUGAUUUGUCCGUUUAAUUUUGUUGACUUUGUGAAUUCGUUGGAUCAGUGUAUCAUUGUUGUUUUUUUAUUGCUGUGAAGGGAGAGCUCUCGGUGGAAGAAUAUUUUAGAAGAAAGACUGCAGUAUUCCAUGACAAAAUAAGAAUUUUCAUUUCAUGGUGACUUUAAUGUUUGUGAUCUCACCCAGCAUUAACUUAGUUUGAACAUGUACAGAUGUGAGUGAAUUUGUUUAUAAAGCCAAUGACCUUGUGUCUUAAUCAGAUCAAUGUAUUUAUGACCAUACACUAAGAAUUAAAAUCAUAAAAAAAUGUUAUGAUUUGUGGACCUGCGAUGAGCUGACCCCCUUAAUUAAACUGACAGACACCCAGUCCCUAAAUCAGAUACCUAAAUCCCUUUUUUUUUUUUUUUUUUUUUGUUACACUGAAUUCACCUUUAGGAUACAAAUCUGUUGAUGUAUUUCUAACUUGCACUGUAUCUGACCCACAGACAGUAUUGUUUUUUCAUCUGUACUGUAUUUUCUUAUACUUGUAUUUAUUCUUAUGCUACUGUUCAGCUUAUUGUAUGUUUGACAUAAAGUUAUCCUGCUAUUACUGUAUUUGUAGCUGAACAUUUUUAUGACCUUCUUCCUUGUUGUUUCUGUGGUACAGGGGGAUCUAUAUUUUGCAAUUGUCUUAAUUAAUAAUUAGGGACCAAUAACAGAGCACCAAUAACAUUAGAUCACCAAUAACAUCUGUUAAUCCAAAACAUUCACAUUCCCAAUCAUUGUGAUGAUUAGAGUUUGAAUCUAACCAACUUCAGUUAUUAACUGGUAAAACCAAGAAAAAAUCAAAAAUUUUCUUGAGGACCAUUA